rnacentral:lncRNA from 1 species
UUGUUUCUUUGUGCCUGAAACAGGAUCAAGAGAACUUUUACAUGGAUGGUAGGUUAUCCUCAUUCCUCAACCUGGACCAGUUUAACCGCAAUUACAGUAAAAUCCUAUUACUUUUCCUCAAAGCAAUAUCAUAAUCUGUCGAAUAAACAUUAUCUCAUAAAUUUACUCUCAUUCAAUUUAAGAAUAUUUGGAAAUAUUAAAUUUUACAUAUCACUUGACAAAUCAUAAAAACAUAAUCAAUUGUCCAAAUCAAAAUAAUACAAAACUGAAAGAAAAUAAAAAUUAAGAAUAAAAAGGUGAUAAACUGAACCAUAUAUAACAGUAACUCACACCUGAAAUCAUAUUAUAAUUAUAAUGACAUUGAAGUGUGUUUCCGAAAGGCAAGUGAAUAGACAUGGAAUGUUGUACAGUAAGUUCUAUUAUAUUCUCGAGAGGCGACCUAAUAGCCUAAAACAAUAUGAAAGUCUUAGCGGCUCUGACUAAUAUGCUUUGAGUGAGAUGAGAGAUCUUUCAGUGAAAAGUUUCAGCUUUCAUUGUUUUUCUUUAGGUAGAAAAGCUUCUAUAUUUAUAGCAGAGUGUAGAGUAGAGCUACUGAUCUAUCUGAAAGUUGUUGCUACAGUUGUACAUGUAACCGCCUAUAACUGACAUUAUAACUGAAUUGUUAAAUGAAGACGAAGAUGACUACAACAAUAAAAUCCUCAUCAUUCAAACUUUGUAAGAAUAUCAUUUUGCAUAAGGGUAAAUAUAAAAAGGCAGAUACCCCAUCAUCAAGUAAUGCAUACAUAUAAACUAACUGUUAGGUAUAAAUUAAGGUGGUCUCCUUUCCUCUUUCAGCUAUGAAGCUUGUUGUGCAUUUGAAGUUUUACUUACUAAUAACAAAUAAGUUCAUCCUCAAAUAUUUUCAGGUUGGGAUUUCAUGUGGAUAUUCGGUCACAUCCUGUUAAUUUUAGCAAACAGUCAAAUAAUUAAUUGUACAUACCUCACACCCAAUUGAGUUCUAACUUCUAACUUGUAGCCACUCUUUCUUAUUUAUAGCAUACAAUUUAAACAUGUUUUUACUGUGGAUGUAAACUAUGUAACUCUCAGGAAUAGAUUGAUAAAUUAAGUCCUUUGUUUUUACAAAACUCAAACAGAAAGGCUUCAAGCAUCAUAUGACCAACUUGAAAAGCAAUAUAAUGAAGAAUUAAACAUAAAAGAGAUCUUUGUUACCAAAUAUCUGAGUUGAAGCGAUAGGGAAAUCAGCAAGUAGCCCCGAGCACCUAUAACUUGGGGUCUCCACUAUCUAGCAAGACCAACAUCACUUGUUUCAAACAUGCAUCCUAUAAGGACAACAUAUGCAAGUAGUUAUUAAAAGGGGAAAUGGUCAGCAAGGUAAUGUUAUGAGUUAGGAAAAUUUACAGUUAUCUCCUCAUUCAAUUUUGCACUAUAAGAGUUCAAACAAACACAUUAAAAAUCUCACAUAUUUGUAUUCUAGAACGAAAAAUAUUUAAGUAUGAACAAAUAAGCACCAUUAGAACACUAAAUUAAGCAUUACCAAAAUAAGCAUCAACGUGAUCUAUAGAGUUAACAACAUCAUAUCACAUUAUAAGAGUUUACCUUAGAAUUUAGGUCCUUCUUCCCUUACUUGGCUUCAACGCUCACAAUUUCUUUCAGCUUUCUAACCUGAAGAGUCAUCCCCAACACC